rnacentral:lncRNA from 1 species
AGGGUUGGAGGAUACGAAUUCUCAGCACUUUCAGCCUGCUCCAUGGAACAGUCAAGCAACUUUGGGGCCAGAGAAAGGACUCAGUAAAGAAAUGCCAGGUUCUGACAGAAGUCUCACAAGUAACAUGAUCAAGAGAGAGGAGGACCUGAUUCUUCAUAAAAUAGGACUACUCUUCAUCCACUUCAUCCAUUUAGUGAUCCUUUCCUGUACUUUUCAGCUCUAUUCUCUGUGGAGAGUUCAAGUGACAGCCUCCAGAUGACGGCUGUCUGACUGCUGUUUGUGCCAGUUUUAUUUCAAAGCGCUUUUCUUUCCAUAUUUCAAAGGUCAGUGUGUUUACUGUGGCCAAAAAGAGCCUGUGUGUAAGAGAAAGAAAUCCAUGUGGCUGAGUGGCAGGAGAACCAGCAGAGGAGUCAGGGAACUGGAUUCGAAUCCUAGCUCAGCUUCUAGGUAAGACAGAGAACUAAAUGAGUUGAUCUCUUCUUCUCCAUUAGCAUUGAAAGGGAAGGAAGGAAAUAUUACUAGUGGCCUUAUUUUAGAUUUAAAAAAAAGUCUUAGAAGUGUGGUUCUCCAAGAAGACAUGUAGGUAUUUCCAGUAAAGAAACACUAUCAAACACUCAGCUGAGAAAAUGUCCACUUCAUCGCCUUGAAAUGGAAAUAUGUCCUCCCUCAGAGAAAGCAGGCUGGAUAUUUUGGCCACCCUUGGAAAUCUUGAGAUUGUUUUCAGUCGAGGAAUUUUAGCGCUGGGAACUAACAG